rnacentral:rRNA from 1 species
CCUACGGGUGGCAGCAGUGAGGAAUAUUCGUCAAUGGACGAGAGUCUGAACCAGCCAAGUAGCGUGAAGGAUGACUGCCCUAUGGGUUGUAAACUUCUUUUAUAUGGGAAUAAAAUGUUCCACGUGUGGGCUUUUGUAUGUACCAUAUGAAUAAGGAUCGGCUAACUCCGUGCCAGCAUCCGCGGUAAUACGGUGGCUCCGAGCGUUAUCCGGAUUUGUUGGGUUUAACGGGAGCGUAGGUGGAUUGUUAAGUCAGUUGUGAAAGUUUGCGGCUCAACCGUAAAAUUGCAGUUGAAACUGGGAGUCUUGAGUGCAGUAGAGGUGGGCGGAAUUCGUGGUGUAGCGGUGAAAUGCUUAGAUAUCACGAAGAACUCCGAUUGCGAAGGCAGCUCACUGGACUGCAACUGACACUGAGGCUCGAAAGUGUGGGUAUCAAACAGGAUUAGAUACCCCAGUAGUC